GUUUUUAAUCUGAGCCAGCCCUUUCUUAAACCACAACUAAUGGCGGGGCUAUUCGUUGAAUUACGAGCCAAAUGAAGCGCUCAGGAUCACUCAAGCUUGUUAUAAAAGGCAUCUUAGAAAUGGAGUAAAAAAAAAGGACAACGAGGCACAUGACACAAAAGCACCAAUGCUUCAUUCUUAAGAGGGAUGUCCCGUCAACCUUCACCUUCCCAUGAGCAGGAUUCAAGUCAAAAAGCCAUGAUUGCUCAUCAAGACAAUUUAACAGACGCUCUUAAUUCGCUGGGCCUCACUAAAGGUGCCACGAACCUAUCUCCAGAGGCAAAGAGACACCAUGAAAAUGUUGCUCUUUACAUGUUCAUCGGCCUUGUGUCCGCUUUCUUGUUCAUCGCGACGAUCAUCAUCACAGUUGAACUGUACCGGAGUGGACGAUGCGCGAAAAGUUUAAAACGAAAGGGUGAUAAGGGAAGAACUAGGCUUGAAAAUGAAGAUGAUGACGAUGAGGGUGAUUAUUCGGAAAUAGAGAUGAACGACUUAUAGUGAUAAAUGUAUAUGGAUCCAAAGUGGGUUUCCUGCGGAAGGAAGUAAUUCAGGUGUGAUAACGGGAAUGCGAUCGACGUAAUGGGUACGGGGCCGUGCGGUGACCAAUUUGUUGCAAGGUUUUGCAAAGUGGACUGACGGUGAAGGUGUUUAUUCGGAAAUCUAGAUGAUUGACUUGUUGUGACAAAUAGAACCAGCAUAAGUAUCAGUGCUUUGCUUUACGAUCAGUGCAACGAGUGAGAGUCUCUGUAGCAGGCCAGCUGAAGCUCCUCAAUGCAAUGUUUUGCCCAGUGACCUGGGAGCAAAUAUGAGAUAUAAAAUGUCGAUCUUCAAACCAAAUACUGAUCUGUACACUUUCAGUCUUUUCCUUCUCGUUGCCUUCAUCGUUUCAAUAAGGGCCCGGUUAAACAAAGUAGUGUUUGUACCAAAUCAGCAUCAACAUUUGAAAGCAAAGAUGUCAUCGAUCACAUUGAAAACAGGGAAUGCUUGAAAAGGCCUCUUGUUUGGAAAAAGUGUAUCUUCGAUGGCCUGAUUAGUUCCCGCACAUGCGUAAAGCAAUGCCUUUCAACUAAGGCAGCCAAGGCAAAGAAUCGUAUCGUGAUCCAAACUUAAAACAAAUAUUUUUAAUUCCUAAGUAAACUAAGGCUUCAGGAUGUGAGUAUUACACUCUGGCGCCGAUGUUAGGCAAUACAGGAAAACUAAAGAGGUCUGGGUCAUUUUUGGAGAGCCAAUUUUCUAAAUAUUUUGCUAGCGACGCAAAGCUGACCUGGCAGACAGAUAAAACAAAACGAAUUAGUACGAGUACGUCUGAUACAAAACUGUUUUCAUUGUAGUAUCAGCGUAAGCUAACGAAAGGCCCCCCUUGUCAAAUCAACAAAACGUAGAAAUUAAAUCGUUGUACUGUAAUAGCUUUGCACGCGCCAUAAAUAGAUCCCUCUCAGAGAAGAAUAGUCUGGUAGUCUAAUUUUAUUUUUGGAACGAGUCAAACUGGCGGUUCUCAGCAGUUGUUUUCCGGUGAUUGAAUUGAUACGGUGAUCAGAUUAAUUCAAUCAGUUCGAUAUAAACAGCAUUCAGAAUGCAAUAUCCCCUCGUAUUGGUAGUUUCAGUGGGAUUGUAAUAUACAUCUGCGUACUUCCAACAUCAGCCGCCUUGCCUGCGUCGAACGUGCAGGUUCAAGAGAAGGGGUCACUAAGAGUCUGCUGAUAAUCUCUGUUAUAGACUUGUCACAGAUCUAGAGCAUUGAUCAACAACUCUCAAAGAAUGGUUUUUGGCCGACGAUUCAAAUAAAGACAGGACCGCACAGACGUCGAACGUUCUCAACAAGAUAUUGACCAUAAAAACGAUCUAUUUACAUUCAGGAAAUUAUAUUGUUACAUUUUUUAAA